rnacentral:rRNA from 1 species
GACGAACGCUGGCGGCGUGCUUAACACAUGCAAGUCGAACGGAAAGGCCCUGCUUUUGUGGGGUGCUCGAGUGGCGAACGGGUGAGUAACACGUGAGUAACCUGCCCUUGACUUUGGGAUAACUUCAGGAAACUGGGGCUAAUACCGGAUAGGAGCUCCUGCUGCAUGGUGGGGGUUGGAAAGUUUCGGCGGGUGGGGAUGGACUCGCGGCUUAUCAGCUUGUUGGUGGGGUAGUGGCUUACCAAGGCUUUGACGGGUAGCCGGCCUGAGAGGGUGACCGGCGACAUUGGGACUGAGAUACGGACCAGACUCCUACGGGAGGCAGCAGUGGGGAAUAUUGCACAAUGGGCGGAAGCCUGAUGCAGCAACGCCGCGUGCGGGAUGACGGCCUUCGGGUUGUAAACCGCUUUCGCCUGUGACGAAGCGUGAGUGACGGUAAUGGGUAAAGAAGCACCGGCUAACUACGUG